GCGAUGUGGGGAAGGGUUCCACGCGAACAUUGAUUGAGCGUGGGUGAGUCGUUCCUAAGCCGUCUGGUAAUUUGUUAAUGAAAUUCGGCGAAAGGGAAGCAGGUUGAUAUUCCUGCACUCGGAUGUGGAUAUGCGGUGACGCACACUGGGGCGGUGAAGUCGUCGGUUGCACUGGGCAGAGAUUUCUUUUCUGUUUAACGAAGCCUGGCUGUACUCUAUGGAAUCCGCUUGUCGGGAGAAAUAGGUAUGCCACGGCAAAGCGCCGGGUUUAUUUUCUGGCGUCCAGUUUGCGAUAGGCGAACCUUGAAAAGCCGUCUGCUGGCAAAAUGCUUUGAAAGAAAACUUCUUUUUUUUCUUUUGAGGUGUUUUGUGUGAAAAAAAUCCACGCCGAAACGUACCCAUAACCGCAUCAGGUCCCCAAGGUGAACAGCCUCUGCUCGAUAUGAAAAAUGCAGGUGAGGGAAGUCGGCAAAUUAGACCCGUAACUUUGGGAAAAGGGUUGGCUCUAGUGCUGCGUAGGAGUGGUUGCUGGUUG
rnacentral:rRNA from 1 species